rnacentral:rRNA from 1 species
AAACCAACAGGGAUUGCCUCAGUAACGGCGAGUGAAGCGGCAAAAGCUCAAAUUUGAAAUCUAGCACUUUCAGUGUUCGAGUUGUAAUUUGAAGAAGGUAACUUUGGUUUUGGCUCUUGUCUAUGUUCCUUGGAACAGGACGUCACAGAGGGUGAGAAUCCCGUGCGAUGAGAUGCCCAA